UCGACCUGAGGUCAGGCAAGAACACCC
rnacentral:rRNA from 1 species